rnacentral:rRNA from 1 species
UACGUAGGUGGCAAGCGUUGUCCGGAAUUAUUGGGCGUAAAGCGCGCGCAGGCGGUCCUUUAAGUCUGAUGUGAAAGCCCACGGCUUAACCGUGGAGGGUCAUUGGAAACUGGGGGACUUGAGUGCAGAAGAGGAGAGUGGAAUUCCACGUGUAGCGGUGAAAUGCGUAGAGAUGUGGAGGAACACCAGUGGCGAAGGCGACUCUCUGGUCUGUAACUGACGCUGAGGCGCGAAAGCGUGGGGAGCGAACAGG